rnacentral:rRNA from 1 species
GACGAACCGUGCGAACGUUGUUCGGAAUCACUGGGCUUAAAGGGCGCGUAGGCGGGCCGGCAAGUCAGGGGUGAAAUCCCACGGCUCAACCGUGGAAGUGCCUUUGAUACUGCCGGUCUGGAGGGAGGUAGGGGCGUGCGGAACUUCCGGUGGAGCGGUGAAAUGCGUAGAUAUCGGAAGGAGCACCGGUGGCGAAAGCGGCGCGCUGGACCUCUACUGACGCUGAGGCGCGAAAGCCAGGGGAGCAAACGGG